GGACACCAUGUCACCCGUCCGCCCGUCGCCCCUCGCGCAGAAGGAGAGGGAUCCUAUGUCUCCUGCCCGGCCGUCUCCGUUGGCGCAGAAGGAACGGGACCACUCCUCGCCAACACCGGUCCGGUUAUUUAUGCAAAGGGAUACAAGAUCACCGUGCAAUGUAAAGCCAUCACAAAUUAUCAUGAGAGACCGCGGGG
rnacentral:lncRNA from 1 species